rnacentral:tRNA from 1 species
AUUUCAUUAGUUUAAGAUUUAAAAUAUAACUCUGAAGAAGUUGGGAUUUAUGAAAUA